rnacentral:tRNA from 1 species
GGGAUUGUAGCUCAGUUGAUAGAGCGCUUGCCUAGCACACAUGAAGGCCUGGGUUUGAUUCCUAGAAUCUCA